rnacentral:ncRNA from 1 species
UGACGUUAAGAUCCAGGAUGAAGUUUUAAUUUUUGGGUGGUUUUACAUGAAGAUUAAAGUGCAAUAGGCGGAGAUGCGGGCUAAAUGUGGAUGAUGAGCUUAAAAUAAUCUCAGUAAAUGGAAUUAAACAUAUAAAAUAAGUUUUGAUUUAGAAAACCCUAAAUAGAUGGAAAAGAGUGUGCCAGCAGCCGCGGUUAUACGCUCAUCUAAAGUUAAUAAAAGAGUACUAGCGACAGCUAAGGAUAAAGGAUUUUCUAGUUUUGUUUAGAAGAUGAGGUAAAAUUCUCUUCUGAAUUAAGUUAGAAAAGACUAAGCUGGGGUAAAAUUGUUAAGGAACCAGGAUUAGAUACCCUGUUACUCAUAGGAAGAAGGCUUUGAUUAGUACGAAUGGGGAAAUUUAAUGGAUUUGGCGGCGAAAUAGACCAUUCAGAGGAACUUGUCCUGUAAACGAUAAUCCUCGAUAACUUAACCCAGGUUGGUAGUCAGUUUGUAUACCGUUGUUGUCAGAUAACUCUAGUAAGAUGUUUUCAGGGAUAAUAAAUUUAAGGACUUCAAAUAAAGGUGCAGCUUACAUCUGGGGGGAGAUGAGUUACAAUAAGAAUUGAAUUGUGGAUAGAAGCUUGAAAUUGGGUUUUUGAAAAUGGAUUUGUUUGUAAAUAUGGAAAGGUAGUCAUAUUGAAAGGAGCACUAUUUCGUGUACACACCGCCCGUCGCUCUCUUUGCGGAAAUGAGAUAAGUCGUAACAAGGUAAAUGUAAUGGAAAUUGUAUUUGAAUGAAA